GAUGAACGCUGGCGGCGUGCUUAACACAUGCAAGUCGAACGAUGAAGCCAGCUUGCUGGUGGAUUAGUGGCGAACGGGUGAGUAACACGUGAGUAACCUGCCCUUAACUCUGGGAUAAGCCUGGGAAACUGGGUCUAAUACCGGAUAUGACCUCCCAUCGCAUGGUGGGGGGUGGAAAGCUUUUGUGGGUUUGGAUGGACUCGCGGCCUAUCAGCUUGUUGGUGAGGUAAUGGCUCACCAAGGCGGCGACGGGUAGCCGGCCUGAGAGGGUGACCGGCCACACUGGGACUGAGACACGGCCCAGACUCCUACGGGAGGCAGCAGUGGGGAAUAUUGCACAAUGGGCGGAGGCCUGAUGCAGCGACGCCGCGUGAGGGAUGACGGCCUUCGGGUUGCAAACCUCUUUCAGUAGGGAAGAAGCGUAAGUGACGGUACCUGCAGAAGAAGCGCCGGCUAACUACGUGCCAGCAGCCGCCGUAA
rnacentral:rRNA from 1 species